GAACAUGAUAUCUUUGUAAGCUCCUUUUUUCCUUAUUCAAUGUUUGUUUUAUAAGUUCUUGUUAAUAUAAGUUGAUGAUAUUUUAUGGACUUGCAAAUCUUUUUUGCCAGUAAACCAACUUCCUUAAAUUCUACUAAUUUAUUGGAUGGUAGAAAUACAUAAAUUUGUUGCAACAUAUGCUGUCUUUUUGGACAAAUUUCUAAAAAAUUAUGCUUAGAAUCUAUAUUCAUUAGAUUUGAUAUAGUAUUGAGUAUCAGCUUCUUUAAUUGCUUGAAUAGACCCANAACUAAUUUUCUCUUUCUUGGGUUUAUUUUGUUAAUUUUAGUUGACAAAUCAUGAUAGAGUGAUAAUUUUGCUGCGGUUCUUACAUGUUUUAAUCACAUCUCUUGGUUUGAAAUUCUACAGGAGACUAGAAAUGAACAAAUUAUCUGGGGAUGUGUCUUCGCUUGUAAAUUGCCUUAGUCUUUCUUUGAU
rnacentral:lncRNA from 1 species